UACGUAGGGCGCAAGCGUUGUCCGGAAUUACUGGGCGUAAAGAGCGCGCAGGCGGUCGUUCAAGUCGAGUGUGAAAGCCCCCGGCUCAACUGGGGAGGGUCAUUCGAUACUGUUCGACUCGAAGGCAGGAGAGGGAAGUGGAAUUCCCGGUGUAGUGGUGAAAUGCGUAGAUAUCGGGAGGAACACCAGUGGCGAAGGCGACUUCCUGGCCUGUUCUUGACGCUGAGGCGCGAAAGCUAGGGGAGCAAACGGG
rnacentral:rRNA from 1 species